ensembl:lncRNA
CAAAGUCUUUCACUGCCCAGAACUUUGGAAAUGUAAUUAGUUCCCAGUCCAGAUUGUAUUUAACUAUUUGUUUUUCUUGCAAGUCAAAGUUUGUCUGCUUAGUCCUCAAUAACUACUGUUUUUUUUCUUGCCCCUCCCAACAGCUAUCUCACUUCUACUGGGAAGUACCAGAUGUGCAGUGGAUCCAGAUAAGCAGAGCCAAGGAGCACCGUUUUACAAUUUCUGCCUUGUUCAUUCUGAAUAAACAAAUGUAUAACUUUGGACCUGACCUCCAACGGUGCAAUCGUUCACCAACUGAAUCAAUAGUGUAAAUUCAAUCCAAAACAGAUUUGUUAUUGGGUAAGGAUGAUAAAGGUUAGAACUGGGUUGAUUUGUAUCUCAUCCUGAAUCAGGAGUCAAAGGAGUUGUUCAAAGUUGAAACAAUGUAAUUAAUUUCAUUUAAAAAUAUAUAUCUGGCCUUCAAAAAAUAUAUGCACUUACUUGUGGGGCAAACCAGUAUUUAGUUACUAUGGUGUGUUACCAAGCAACCUGUAUUUACCAUGCACUGUAAAUAGCCAAUAAAUUACAAUCCUCAAGUUGUUCUGUCUGAAAAUAGUUUGGUCCUUCAUGUCUGUAUGUUUUUUUUCCCUCAUUCUACUUUAUAUCUCUGAAUUUCUCAUGGAGGUGCUCUAUAGAGCAAUAACGGUAGAGAGACACCUGUACUGGUAGUAGUGUCAGCUUCAACCUGACAUACUUUACUUGUGCAGAUAAAGCUGGGAAACAUGUUCUCAUAUGUUGGAGGCUGGACCUCAUGCUACAAGUUUCUGCUCUACAUUAAGAAGUAUGUUGGGAUUUUUUUAGGAUUGGGAAAUACCAUGACAUUUGCUCUCUAUGUAUUAUGUUGACAUGAAACAAAUGUGACAACUGACAAAUAAUUGUAUUGAACAGGUUGUGCCUUAAAGUGUGAAUGAAGGGUGUGUCUUGGUGUUGUUAUGAGUAGACCUAUAUCAAUAGGAGAUGAGACAUAACACAUGCAUAACACACAAGAAGUGUCAAACGUUUCCAUUGUUUCAUUAAUUAUCCCUCAACACUGAUACUGUAUUUAUACCUAGAAAAGAUUGUGACGUGGAAACAAAUGAAAUAAUAAUUUGAGCCUAAAACAGUUUUUACAGUUUCUCAAAUGACACAAAUCACGUUUGUUUUUUUAUGUAGCUGGCUUUUCCAACAUAUCAGUGUUGUUGACACAGUUCAUGGUACAGUCAGACAGGUUUGAAAAAAGUCACAUUACCGACACAGUAUCCACCAAUCGUUGUUCAGACAAACAAUAUAAGCGUCCAAUCACAGACUUACGGGGAGGGGGUUCUUGAUGUGGGUGGUUCUAGCAAUUUCUAGAGACAUCUCAGCACACAUUAAAUAAAUGUAACUCCGCCGAGAGUAAUUGUUUUAAAAUCAUAUUUUCCUAAUCGAUAAUUCGUGUAUGUGUUAUAUGUGUAUUUCUUCGAAUCAAAAUGAAUGAAUUAAAUGUAUAGUGUAAGUUUAAGGUUAAAGCACGGACUAUGUUUUCAAUCGCGGAUGGAUAUUGUCACAUGACGCUUUUCCACGUCGCAAUGUUUUCUUAGUAUAAAUAAAGUGUCCGCGCCUUUCGUGAAUCAUAUUGAACACAGAAGCAAGAAGUUUCCAAGAAGACGUGUACGUUACAUUUACUUCGAGGUUAAUCGUAAGUAGAUACAUUCGAUGUUGAUAUUAGUUGAACUUUUGUAUUUUACAGAUUCAUGUGUUAACUACUGUGCUAGAGUUGCUAACGUUACUUGCUAGAAUUCGCUUGACCUAGUUUUGUCGAAUGGUUUUGUUCACCAACCGUCGUCUUUCACCCUUCCCUUACAAAAUAUUUUGGUUUUGUACCCUACUUACCAUUUACAAGUUUGCUAUCCAUGACUAUGGUUGUCCGUUUUUUUUCUCCACAAUUUUUAUCCUUC